AUUGAACGCUGGCGGCAGGCCUAACACAUGCAAGUCGAACGAGUGGCGCACGGGUGAGUAAUGUCUGGGACACUGCCUGAUGGAGGGGGAAAACUACUGGAAACGGUAGCUAACACCGCAUACCAUCAGAUGUGCCCAUAUGGGUUGAGCUUGUUGGUGGGGUAACGGCUCACCAAGGCGACGAUCCCUAGCUGGUCUGAGAGGAUGACCAGCCACACUGGAACUGAGACACGGCCCAGACUCCUACGGGAGGCAGCAGUUGGGAAUAUUGCACAAUGGGCGCAAGCCUGAUGCAGCCAUGCCGCGUGUAUGAAGAAGGCCCUCGGGUUGUAAAGUACUUUCAGCGGGGAGGCGUUACCGGCAGAAGAAGCACCGGCUAACUCCGUGCCAGCAGCCGCGGUAAUUC
rnacentral:rRNA from 1 species